UGGGGAAUUUUGGGCAAUGGACGCAAGUCUGAUCCAGCCAUGCCGCGUGCGGGAAGAAGGCCUUCGGGUUGUAAACCGCUUUUGUCAGGGAAGAAACGAGUUUCUCUAAUACAGAGACUUAAUGACGGUACCUGAAGAAUAAGCACCGGCUAACUACGUGCCAGCAGCCGCGGUAAUACGUAGGGUGCAAGCGUUAAUCGGAAUUACUGGGCGUAAAGCGUGCGCAGGCGGUUAUGCAAGACAGAUGUGAAAUCCCCGGGCUCAACCUGGGACCUGCAUUUGUGACUGUAUAGCUAGAGUACGGUAGAGGGGGAUGGAAUUCCGCGUGUAGCAGUGAAAUGCGUAGAUAUGCGGAGGAACACCGAUGGCGAAGGCAAUCCCCUGGACCUGUACUGACGCUCAUGCACGAAAGCGUGGGGAGCAAACA
rnacentral:rRNA from 1 species